AUUGAACGCUGGCGGCAGGCUUAACACAUGCAAGUCGAGCGGAUGAAGGGUGCUUGCUCCUGGAUUCAGCGGCGGACGGGUGAGUAAUGCCUAGGAAUAUGCUUGGUAGUGGGGUAUAACGUCCGGAGACGGGCGCUAAUAACGCCUACGUCCUGCGGGAGAAAGUGGGGGAUGUUUGGACCUCUUGCUAUCAGAUGAGCCUAGGUCGGAUUAGCUAGUUGGUGGGGUAAAGGCCUACUAAGGCGACGAUCCGUAACUGGUCUGAGUGUAUGAUCAGUCACACUGGAACUGAGACACCGUCCAGACUCCUACGAGAGGCAGCAGUGGGGAAUAUUGGACAAUGGGCGGAAGCCUGAUCCAGCCAUGCCGCGUGUGUGCAGAAGGUCUUCGGAUUGUAAAGACCUUUUAGUUGGGAGGAAGGGCAGUAAGUUAAUACCUUGCUGUUUUGACGUUACCAACAGAAUAAGCACCGGCUAACUUCGUG
rnacentral:rRNA from 1 species